AAUCUUAAUUUGUGAGUUAAAAUGAUAAGAAUUCAACUCCCAAUAACACUUACUUUAAUAGAUUUGUAGAAUCAUUAAAAUCUAAACUUUUUGAAUAACAAAUGAUUUUGUAUAGAGUUAUAGAAUCAUCAAACCAAUAACAAUAGAUUUCAAUGAGAAUAUGAGAAUCUAUAAACCAAUAACACUAGACUUAGAAAUUCUAAGAUUCAUUAUAAAUCUCAUCCCCACUAACACCCCCUAAUGGUUUAUGAAAUCUUUCGUGUUGGAGGGAAUGAUGAAUCCUUCAAUCUUGUUUAUAAAGAAUGUAGGAAGAAAACUAAUACUAAUAAAUACGAAAAUAUAUUACAAAUCAAUAUUUUGGAUGAAUAUAAGGAACCAAUAAUAACUACGCAUUAACCUAUCUGCCUUAUUUGUUCAAUCACAGCACUAAAAUUGAUGCCACUACGAUAUUCUGGCCAGAAACACAAAAUAUCACUGACUAAUAUGGUGUUUUGACUUGGUCAGAAAAUUUACAAUAAAUACCAUUAAGUAACCGUAUUUAUUAGCAAUUAUUCCGUAUGGCAAUAUUUUUUUUUGACAUAUUCCGUAUGGCAAUAUAGUUGGAGCAAAUCGAGCAGAUUUGCCUUUUUCAAAAGUUUUUCUGCCAUUUGUCUUGGAAAACUUUAUGUUGAUUUCAUAUAAUCAAUGACAAAAAAAAUAUAAAAAAUCUAAUUCCAUAAUUCAAAGGUAUGUUGUCUGAGGUUAUAAAUAUGAAUAGUAAGGUAAAAAAGUGUCAUGAACAAAAUGUUAGUUUGCUCGAGAACCUGUAAAUUCAGUUUAGACUGGUAGAAUUAGUGGUAACAUGCUUGGACAAUGGAAUGUUUGUUUUUAUAACCAUUGAUAUUUUGAUUCGAAACAAAGGUGUUUGUUGUGGACCGUAUAUUUGUUCAUGACAAUAGGUUUUAAAACAACACGAACCAUUGUUUUAAGUCUAAUAGACAUAGUCAAGCUUGAGUUUAUUCCAGGACAAUACGUGAUAAUAAUUUUAUAGGUUCAUGUACCAAAAUAUCAGUUUGUCUCUAAUAAUGCCAUACUUGUCAUGAACAGAAUGAACAGAAGGACAAAAAGGCACUUACAAAACAUACUAAUACGGUUGUGUUUAUUUCGUAUGCGAAGAUGAAGAAGUCACGAUUUUUUUCAGCCAACGAUUUAAAUUGUACAUAAAUUUGAUUGAUAAACCCGGUUAAAACAAUUGACAAUGUCGACCGGUUAUUGUAUUACGAACCAGGUAAAGUUGUAUGACAAAUAUCUUUAAUCUGUUAUUCAAUAUAUGUCUUAAUAUAUGUAUAAUAGGUACCAAUGGCAAUACUGGUAAAUAUUCUAGUAAUUUAAGGACUAUUAGAUUAGUUGGCUGAGAAGAGCUGUGAGCUUGCCACAUAGGCUAUAAUGGCAAAGUUGUUAUUAAUUUACCAAAGGAAGGUUAUUUAUUAAAAAUGCUUCUUGAUUAAUAAGUAAGGGAUGUGGGAAGGGAUGGAGGGAGAGUCCAAGGUUCUAUAACCAGGAGAUGAAAGUAGAAGAUAAGAGGAUGACUCAAAAAGUAGAGACUUUGAAGAGUUUCCAAGUAAAUGAUAAAAUCAGAGUUGCAAAACUUUAAGUUUCAGAGUUUAAUGAGACACACUUGGAAGACUUCGAGGAAAGUCUUCUAACAUUUAAUGCACUAGAAGACUUCCAAAAAGUCUUUUGACAGAGCCUUUUCUCAUGUCAAGUGGAGUCCAAACUUGUCUUUGUGAAGAAAUUAUCUAUAAUAGUUUUGUUUAUGAUAUGUUUUGUAAUUUGUAUGUGUACUAUUUUAGUUUCAAAUUCUUUUGUAAAUUUGAAAUGAUAUUAAUGGAAUUUUUUGGUAAAUAUGUUCAUGUCUACAAUAUUAUCUUGCCAAAAGUACUUGAAAUUAUUAAAAUUAUUGAUAUAAUUUUAAUAGCAAAACAAAAUAACACAAAACAUUAGUCAAAUUUGCUACAACUAAUGGAGAAAACUUCUCAAAAAAACCUUAGUCAAAUUCAUAAAAGAUCAAACAUUACAUUAGUUCAAACAUAAAACAGUUUCACUAGAAGUCUUCCGAAAGACUUUUGGGAUGUCUUCCCAAAGACUUCUUCUCAGAAGACUUCUCGGAAGACUUAAAUUUCUAGCGAGAAAUUUAAAUAUAAGGGAAAAAUUUAAGCGGGAAACUCAAAUUUUAAGUGAAAUUGAAAUUUCAAAUUUCAUAAAAGUAUAUUUUAUGAUCUAAAAAGACACAUUAAACCAUGUGACUUGAUAUUCUUGAAGUUACUUAACACUUUUGAAAAUUAAAAAAUAUAUAUUUAUAGUUGAAAAUACAAGUUUAAUAGUUUAGAGAAAACGAAAGUUUAUUAAACGUUGACGACUUCCACGGAAAUCGUCCGGAAGACUUACAAGGAAGUCUUCUGGUCAAUGCAUAGAAUAGUUUUGCAAUUGACUUUUAUGUGUCAGAAAUUUGAUUUUUUCUAGACGACUUACAUGUAAGUCGUCCAAUAGAAAAAUAAAAACUAAAUAUUUAUUUUUUUCUAAAUGAGUUCCAUGUAAGUCGUUUCAAGUUACUUUUGCAAUUAGAAAAUAAAAAUUAAAUAUUUUAUUUUAUCCGGACGUCUUCCAUGUAAGUCUUCCGGUAGAAAACUUAGACGAAAGUCUUCUAGGAUUUUAUUCCGAGAUAUUAUGAUUUUAGAAAAAGAUGUAUUGCUAUGGUUUUAGUAAAUAUUUACGAUUUGUGAAUAGUUGUGAUGUUUGUUAAAUUUUUUUCAUUUUUAAAAUACUCAAAACAUCAAUAAUACAAGGCCGGGGAAAAGAAUAAUUUCUCUGGAAAUAAAUUAAACGAAAACAUGUUUCUACGGAGACUAAUCCCUAAUAUAUACAAUUAAUACAUGAUAAACAAAAUAACGCAUUAGAUAUAAAGUUACUUUUUUGAAACUAUAUAAAGUUAUUUUUUAUCUUUUAAUUACACGUAAAGACUUUAUUUUAAGCCUAAAAUCGAUGAUCUUGCUACAUAAAUAUGCGAUCCUUCAAAACAAUAUAGACGAUUUCAUCUCGGAUUUAUUUUUGCAACACCAUUAAUGUUGGCCAUUUAGGCUUGCAAAUGAUAAAGAUUGUGAAGAUUAUUAUUAACAUAUUACGAUAAAAAUAAAUGGUUUGAAAUGGUGAUGAUUGUGAGUAAGUAUAAAUAUUUUGAAAACAUGCAACUCUAAAAUAUUACAUUAAAGGUUGCAAGAUGUUUUUAUUUAUAUAAAUUUUAGUUUUGUCAAAUACUAUAUAUUUGAUAUCUUAUUUUGUUUUAUAUUUUAUAUAAUUAUCUAUGAUUGUACUUUCAAAAACUUGAUGUGAACAUAUUUACAUUACAUAUGUAAAACUUUGUCAUAUCUGUGUUUUGCUAUUAUAAGAGAAAUCAUAAUAUAUUUUUUAUGAAAGAUUGGAAUAACCAUAUGAAUAUAUUGUACUAAAUAUAUUGCACAUUAUUUAUCAAAAUCUUACAAAAAUAAUAAUUUAUAAAAAUUUAUAAGUUUAAAGUGAAUUAAAAAAUGAUAAUUCAUAAUCACUUUUCAUCUAAAAUGAUAUAAAAUCAAAAUUCAUAAAAAUUGAAUGAAAAUAAUAGAAUAAAUUAAAUAUUUUGUUGAGUUAUAUAUACAUUAAAAAUGAAUGAAAAUAAUAGAAUAGAUUAAAUAUUUUGUUGAGUUAUAUAUACUAACGUUAAUGAAAAAUAUUUAGUCCAUAAUAACAAAUUUUAAUUUAUAUUUAUUAAGUUUGAAAAAUACAUUUCAAUAUACAAAUUAUAUAUGGACAAGGUAAUAUGAAAGAAAAUAGAAGUCCAAACUUUUGGUAAGAAAUCACUUUUAUAUUAUUUUGACUAUAAUCUAAGAAAAUUAAUUGAAAGAUUUUAUCUAAGAAAUUCCUUUAUGCAAGUUUAUGUUUAUAUAUAUAAUAUCAAUCUAAAAUAAGAGAACACUCAAACAAUUUAGAAAACAUCCUACAAAAUGAGUCUCUUCCAAAAUAUAUUAAUCUCAUUUGUUUUCACUAUUUUCUUCGUGACUUCAAAUGUUCACGGCACCAAUAAUGUUCCGGAUUUUGGAGUAGAACAAAAAAUUACAAAAUGCUAUGGUCCUUGUAACCAAGGAGCUGCAGGAGCUGCAGAAUGUGACGGGUUUUGUAGAGCCAAAAAUAUUCAGUCAAAGGGAACUUGUAGUUCUGGCUUUUGUUGUUGUGUGUGGCAAAUAAAAAAUUAGAAUAAUCUUAUUAGAUAUUAUAUUUUUAAUAAAAGGAAAAUAACAUUACCAAUUAAUACAUAAAUAUGUUAUGAAACUAAAGUUGCUUUGAUUAAUCUCAAGAAAAUAUUAGUCAAAGUUUACUAAAUAUAAAAAAUGUAAUAAACUAUACAUGAUAUAAAACUGUAAAAAAAGUAGGUUUUUGGUAAACCAAGUUUUCAUAUGAUUACCUAUUUACCUUUGAUAAUUAUUUGUACGUUUAGCAUUUUUCUCUCGUAUGAGUUUGAUCACUUCUCACGAAAGUAAAAGGUUUCAAUUUUAUUUUGUAAUUGUUUGUCGAUAUAAUUAUGUAUUUUAUAGAUUAGAAUAGUUAAGAAUAACAUUUUCAAUAGUGGUUUUGUUCAUAACCUUGCAGUUAAAUAUCAUUUAGUUGUUUCAUAUCACUUUUACUUUCUGUUAUUGUUUAUUCUAAAAUACUAUAUUAAUUAGAUAAACAAAUAUAAUUUAUAUAUAUAAGUAAAUAUUGUAAGAAAGUGUCUUGAGUGUUUGGUGAUAUGAAAUAAAUGAUCAUAACUUUUUGGAUAAUGACAAUGAAGUGGAAUAAAAUUCUACUUGAGAAUUUCAAAAGAUAUUAGUGAAUCGAAAUGUAAGAUUUUUGUAUUCAUCAAAAAUAGAUUACAACAUAUAAUUAAUGGAUGAUUUAUUAAGUGGGUAUCAAGAGGAGGGAAAUAUAUUCUUAUAAAAUCCAUUUUUUUGCUUUUCCAACCUAUGUUAUGUCCAACUUCCUUUAUUGUUGGAUAUCUUUGAAAAUUUCGCGAGUGCCAUUACACGAUUUUAGUGGAGCUCAAAUCCACAUAAGCGAGAGAUGUAUUGGACCAAAUGAAAAAAAAAACUGUGUUGCCAAAAAGAAGAAGGUGAUUUUGGUUUCUGUAUGAUCCAUGGUUUUUUUUUAACACUGUGUGAAACUUCAUUACUCAGAAACUGGGAAACAAGAGUUUUAAAUACAGGGCGUUGAGAGGCACCAACAUGACCUUAACCCCAAAAUUACGAUAACACAGGAAAGCAAGAAU